rnacentral:rRNA from 1 species
UACGUAGGGGGCAAGCGUUGUCCGGAUUUAUUGGGCGUAAAGAGCGUGUAGGCGGCCAUUCAGGUCAGCUGUGAAAACUCGAGGCUCAACCUCGAGACGUCGGUUGAAACCGUUUGGCUAGAGUCCGGAAGAGGAGAGUGGAAUUCCCGGUGUAGCGGUGAAAUGACGCAGAUAUCGGGGAAGAACACCCGUGGCGAAGGCGGCUCUCUGGGACGGUACUGACGCUGAGACGCGAAAGCGUGGGGAGCGAACAGG